UAAAUGGAACUUUUGGAUGAAGAAUCCCUGGUUUGUUCAGAUCUGUUAAAGUAAUAGGGGAAAGCACAAAAGGAUCAAGAAAAGGAAGGCCCCAAUCUUUGUUCGAUGACUGAUAAAACAGCAUUACUUGGGUGAAAAUUGGCCUGACCUUCACCUACAGGAUGCUUCCGCUGCCUCAGUGAUUCUUGCUUCGCUCUGAUUAGACUCUCCUCUAAAGCUCUGCUGGGAGAGGACGGCCGGAGAAAGACACAAGUCUCCCUCAGCUGGCUGGAACAGAAACAUCACUGAGUUACACCAGGUCCUAUUUGCCAUCCAUUUCUUCUUUUUG
rnacentral:lncRNA from 1 species